rnacentral:rRNA from 1 species
UACGGAGGGUGCAAGCGUUAUCCGGAUUCACUGGGUUUAAAGGGUGCGUAGGUGGGUCUGUAAGUCAGUGGUGAAAUCUCCAAGCUUAACUUGGAAACUGCCAUUGAUACUAUAGGUCUUGAAUAUCCUGGAGGUGAGCGGAAUAUGUCAUGUAGCGGUGAAAUGCUUAGAUAUGACAUAGAACACCAAUUGCGAAGGCAGCUCACUACGGGAUUAUUGACACUGAGGCACGAAAGCGUGGGGGUCAAACAGG